rnacentral:rRNA from 1 species
AACGCUAGCUACAGGCUUAACACAUGCAAGUCGAGGGGCAGCACAGUGCAGCAAUGCAUGGGUGGCGACCGGCGCACGGGUGCGUAACGCGUAUCCAACCUUCCCGUUACUCAUGGAUAGCCUUCCGAAAGGGAGAUUAAUACAUGAUGGUGUUGAAAUUCCGCAUGUUAUUUCAACUAAAGAUUUAUCGGUAACGGAUGGGGAUGCGUUCCAUUAGCUUGUUGGCGGGGUAACGGCCCACCAAGGCUUCGAUGGAUAGGGGUUCUGAGAGGAAGGUCCCCCACACUGGAACUGAGACACGGUCCAGACUCCUACGGGAGGCAGCAGUGAGGAAUAUUGGUCAAUGGCCGGAAGGCUGAACCAGCCAAGUAGCGUGAAGGAUGAAGGUUCUAUGGAUUGUAAACUUCUUUUAUAGGGGAAUAAAACCUCCCACGUGUGGGAGCUUGUAUGUACCCUAUGAAUAAGCAUCGGCUAACUCCGUGCCAGCAGCCGCGGUAAUACGGAGGAUGCGAGCGUUAUCCGGAUUUAUUGGGUUUAAAGGGAGCGUAGACGGGAGAUUAAGUCAGCUGUGAAAGUUUGAGGCCCAACCUUAAAAUUGCAGUUGAUACUGGUUUCCUUGAGUGCGGUUGAGGUGUGUGGAAUUCGUGGUGUAGCGGUGAAAUGCUUAGAUAUCACGAAGAACUCCGAUUG